rnacentral:lncRNA from 1 species
AAGCCAAGAUUAACUGUUUGAAAAUGCAUCAAUAUUUUCCAUAACAACUUGUGAAGAAAUGGGUAUAUCCACUAAGAAAUUGGGGUGAAAAAAGAUUUAAGAUGAUGAUGCCAAGAGAAGAGGCAAGAGAUGAAGCUUUGACAUUGAAACAAGAAUUGAAAAGAUGCAUGUUUUAAUCUAUCAAUUCUAUCAGGAACUUGCAUCUAAGAUAGAAUUGAUGCAAAAAAUAUAUAUAAAAGAUUUGUUUCCAUUCAGUGAUUGCACCUUAUUGAAACAGAAAUUGAAGAACUUCUCGAAGUUGAUUUCAAGUCUGACGGAAACUGAUAUCUUAUCAGAAAUGAAACGGUUGAGACGAUAUCUUCAAGCAACAAAAGUUGAAAAGGACGAAGCUGAAAAGUGGUCUGCAUUGAAAAUGUUAAAAUUUAUUGUGGAAAUGGACUUCUGAGAAUCAGCAUCUAACUUAUAUUUGGC